GAUGAACGCUAGCGGCAGGCCUAACACAUGCAAGUCGAGGGAGGAGCUUUCGGGCUUCGACCGGCGUACGGGUGCGUAACGCGUAUACAAUCUGCCUUUCACAUAGGGAUAGCCCGAAGAAAUUUGGAUUAAUACCUAAUGGUAUAUAGGAGUGGCAUCACAUUUAUAUUAAAGCUGAGGCGGUGAAAGAUGAGUAUGCGUUCUAUUAGCUAGUUGGAGAGGUAACGGCUCCCCAAGGCGACGAUAGAUAGGGGUUCUGAGAGGGAUAUCCCCCACACUGGUACUGGGAUACGGACCAGACUCCUACGGGAGGGAGCAGUGCGGAAUAGUAGACAAUGGUCGGAAGACUGAUCCAGCCAUGCCGCGUGCAGGAAGACGGCGUUAUGGGUUGUAAACUGCUUUUGCAGGGGAAGAAUAAGGACUACGAGUAGUUUGAUGACGGUACUCUGCGAAUAAGCAUCGGCUAACUCCGUG
rnacentral:rRNA from 1 species